AAGUGUGCCCCACAGUAAAUUCCAGUCAUGUUAAAACAGCGGCGAUCUGCGCUCGAUGCGUUCGUCUCUACCUGUAGCGUGAUACAG
rnacentral:snoRNA from 1 species